CCCUUAGAUGUUCGGGGCCGCACGCGCGCUACACUGAAGGACUCAGCGUGUCUCUCCCCCUAUCCCGAAAGGGAUGGGCAACCCGUUGAACCUCCUUCGUGCUAGGGAUUGGGGUUUGCAAUUAUCCCCCAUGAACGAGGAAUUCCCAGUAAGCGCGAGUCAUCAGCUCGCGUUGAUUACGUCCCUGCCCUUUGUACACACCGCCCGUCGCUACUACCGAUUGGAUGGUUUAGUGAGACCCUCGGAUCGGUCCCGACUCGGGGUGGGCUUCUGCCCCGGUCGUGGUUUCGCCGAGAAGACGGUCAAACUUGACUAUCGAGAGGAAGUAAAAGUCGUAACA
rnacentral:rRNA from 1 species